rnacentral:rRNA from 1 species
AUGGAAGUGGUGAACCGCUCCGUGAUGGUGUCUAGAUUGGAUCUGGUGGGCCAGCAAGGCAUGUAUUUCGAUGCUUGGAGUAAUAGUUAUAGCUUCACCAUCACCAUCACCAUGCCAUCAUGCUGCCGGAACUCAUCCACUACCUCGCUGGCUUGCGUGUCACUUGGGAGCCUCCAAGAUCUUGUGGAGUUGAACCAAGGAGUUCGUAAGGGAAAGGAGAUCGCCUACUUUGUGAAGAUCUACCCUGAGUUGCUUCUUCGUGGACCCUUCACGGGUGCAGCCCUCCAUGGACCCGCACAGCCGUUACCCUCUAUGGGAUGGUGGAUGUGUCUACUUUGGAGAGAAAGGAAUGGAUUCUUGAUAGGUUGCAAAUUUCUUUUUCAUGAUAUGACAGGUUAUUUCAAGGGUUGCAAAUUUCUUCCGAAGCUUAAUAAUGAGAUACCAACUGAAAGAAGCAUUACAUAUAAAGAAAUAUUUAGUAGCUUGGAGAACUUAGUACUGAUCAUGCCUGGCGAUUUGCUUUUCCAAACUGCUAAAUUUUUUGAGGAUGAUGCAGUCUUGAUGCCUCAGGAAACAACAUGGUUCGGUUAUUAUCUUGAUGGCGCCUUUAAUCAAGUGCUGCCUCCUCAAGAGGAUUCUAAAAAAAUGCUAUGCGUGUAUACAAAGCUAUAUACCGAAGACUGGAUCGGCUUGAGGACUUUGGAUGAGUCUGGGCAUGUUAUGUUUGUGUCGGUGCUAGGAGGCCACCUCCGCAUAUCAAGGAGCGGAAUGAAGAAGUAA